rnacentral:rRNA from 1 species
CGGCACGCCUAACACAUGCAAGUCGAACGCAGUAGCAAUACUGAGUGGCAAACGGGUGAGUAUAAUGUGGGAAUCUGCCUUUUGGUUUGGAAUAACACGGGGAAACUUGUGCUAAUACCGAAUAAGCCUUUACAGGGAAAGUUUUAACGCCGAAAGAUGAGCCCGCACUUGAUUAGCUAGUUGGUAAGGUAAAAGCUUACCAAGGCAAUGAUCAAUAGCUGUUCUUAGAGGAAGACCAGCCACAUUGGGACUGAGACACGGCCCAGACUCCUACGGGAGGCAGCAGUGGGGAAUCUUGCACAAUGGGGGAAACCCUGAUGCAGCGAUGCCGCGUGAGUGAAGAAGGCCUUUGGGUUGUAAAACUCUUUCGUCGGGGAAGAAAAUGACUGUACCCGAAUAAGAAGGUCCGGCUAACUUCGUGCCAGCAGCCGCGGUAAUACGAAGGGACCUAGCGUAGUUCGGAAUUACUGGGCUUAAAGAGCUCGUAGGUGGUUAAAAAAGUUGAUGGUGAAAUCCCAAGGCUUAACCUUGGAACUGCCAUCAAAACUUUUUAGCUAGAGUGUGAUAGAGGUAAGUGGAAUUUCUAGUGUAGAGGUGAAAUUCGUAGAUAUUAGAAAGAACACCAAAUGCGAAGGCAACUUACUGGGUCACUACUGACACUGAGGAGCGAAAGCAUGGGUAGCGAAGAGGAUUAGAUACCCUCGUAGUCCAUGCCGUAAACGAUGUGUGCUAGACGUUGGAAAUAUAUUUUUCAGUGUCGCAGCGAAAGCAUUAAGCACACCGCCUGGGGAGUAC